rnacentral:tRNA from 16 species
UGGAAAGAUGACUGAGUGGUCGAAAGUACGUCCCUGCUAAGGACGCGUACCCCUUAAAGGGUACCGAGGGUUCGAAUCCCUCUCUUUCCGU